rnacentral:rRNA from 1 species
GACGAACGCUGGCGGCGUGCUUAACACAUGCAAGUCGAACGGUGAAGCGCCUUCCUUUUUGGUGGGUGUGGAUGAGUGGCGAACGGGUGAGUAACACGUGAGUAACCUGCCCCCUUCUUCUGGAUAACCGCAUGAAAGUGUGGCUAAUACGGGAUAUUCUGGGUCUGUCGCAUGAUGGGUCUGGGAAAGAUAUUGUUUCGGUGGGGGAUGGGCUCGCGGCCUAUCAGCUUGUUGGUGGGGUGAUGGCCUACCAAGGCGGUGACGGGUAGCCGGCCUGAGAGGGUGGACGGUCACACUGGGACUGAGACACGGCCCAGCCUCCUCCGGGAGGCAGCAGGGGGGAAUAUUGCACAAUGGGCGCAAGCCUGAUGCAGCGACGCCGCGUGAGGGAUGGAGGCCUUCGGGUUGUGAACCUCUUUCGCCAGUGAAGCAGGCCUGCCUCGUUUGUGGGUGGGUUGACGGUAGCUGGAUAAGAAGCGCCGGCUAACUACGUG